rnacentral:rRNA from 1 species
AUGACCGUAGAUCGUGUUGAGCCGCCUUCGAGGUCCGCUGCUCGGUUCCUUCACACCGAGGCCGCUGUCGAUUUGCUUCAUGCUGGAGUUGCCGGAGAGCCGGCCUGCUGCCGUCUCCGUGUAAUGCGCCACUGCGAGCCGCCGCUGGAGAGCCACCUCGCGCCUCUAGGACUCCCCGCGACCAGGAAACCAUCUCUGAAAUACUAUGGUCACCACAAGUUGCCGACCUCGUCCCCGCCAAAGCAUCCAUGGGAAAUAAGCAUGAGGUGGUCUCAUACAUGGUUUCAGUGGCUGUGUUCUGAAGAAAAUUGCUUGACGAGGUGA